rnacentral:misc_RNA from 1 species
AAAUAGCCUUUUCCCAUCAGAACUGUAGGCCAUUGUGGUGCAUGAGUGACCAGGAGCAUCAUAAUCAACCCUGGAUCCCAUUGAAUCAUAUAACCAUGCCUUUAUUUUUCCAUCCACUGAUGUUGAAAAGAUAAAAUGAACGUUUUCCCUAGAGUGAGGGCAUAUAGAAUGUACAGAAGCAUCAUGACCUUCAAAUGUAUACAGUUUUGCACCAGUAGCCACAUCCCAAACCUUGAUGGUCUUGUCAUCACCACAAGUAAUAACAGAGAGUUGCUUGUUGGGGUUGCAGAAUGCUAGAUCAUUUACACUUCCAAUAUGAGCAUCAAUCUCCAAAUGAUGCCUGAUAUCUUGUCCACCGUAAUAGGUGUAUAACUGUACCAUAUGUUUGGAAUGUGCAACUCCAAAUAAAGAACCAUCAGGACUCCAUAAUAUGCGUUUAACAGCAACACAUGGAUCUUUGAUUAUAGAUGCCUUCAGUAUCAUUGAACUUGCUCCAAUAUCCCAUACCUGAAAAUUUUUGGAGACCAACUUCUCCCUAGAACUAACUUCCCACAAGCUAAUGUCCCCAAUACCAGUUCCAACAAGAAGUAGAGUUUGCUGAAUAGGAUGAAAGUCCAUGCUUGUGGGAACAGAACCCUGAUUUAAUGUACGCGCCACAGUCUUGGGCAAGUCAUCAAUUAUAUUAAAAGCCAAGACAUGAUGAUUUUGACCAGAAUUAUUUCCUGGCAACAUUACCCUAUCUUGAGCUCCAGAUAUCCUUGGUCUAGAAGCAUCAGAAUCGCCGUGACCCUUUGACAUUGCAGCCAUACCUGCAUUUAGGCUGCUGAAACUUAAUCCACCUCUAGAAACUACUGGAUGAGUUGCAGUUGAGGGAUUAGACAUCCAUGUGGUCAGAGGAGUCUGUACUGGUACUGAUGCUGAUGUAGGUUGGAAUGGCCCAUUUGCAACUAUUGGAAGGAAACCUUCGGUUUUUGGAGCAGAACCUACGAAUUGAUGAUUGCUUGCAGCGAAAUGGGCAUAUGCAUCAUUGGAAUUUCUACAAUUGUGGUCCACAAAGAGAGUUCUUAUAUCAGGAUUUUGCCUUGUAUUUCCACAAAGGGAAUGCUGCCAAUUCAAGCUUUGGUUGAUAAGCAUGCGCAACCUUGAGCCUUUUAUGUUAGGAAGUUGCAAUUUAUCACGGAAAAGUGGAUUGGCCUCAAUAAGCUUCUUGAGCUCAAUCAGCAUAAUUGUUCUUGCUGUCUUUGUGUCCCUAUAACUGGAGAGUUGAUCAUUUUCCCGGAAAUUAUCCAAUGUGAGGAGUUGAGUAAUUUCCUUGAAUAAGUCUUCAUUGAAAGAGGAAAACACCUUCAAAUCCUUUGCUAGGAUAUCUACAGCCUUGGCUCGAUCAUGCUUAUCCAAUGCCUCGAGAUACUUUUGCUUGCGGAUUUCGAAAAAAAUCUUCAUAGAGUAGCGGUUAUCAUCCACUCUAGUA